rnacentral:rRNA from 1 species
AGUAAACGCGUGGGUGACGUACCUGUUGGUGGGGAAUAACUGCCCGAAAGGGUGGCUAAUUCCGCAUAAGUCCUUCGGUUCAAUCUGAAGGGGAAAGCUUCUUGUAAAAGAGAGGCGCCGAUGGAGCGGCCCGCGUCCGAUUAGCUGGUUGGUGGGGUAACGGCCUACCAAGGCGACGAUCGGUAGCUGGUCUUAGAGGAUGAUCAGCCAGACUGGGACUGAGACACGGCCCAG